AAGGCACGUGUCGUUGGCUAA
rnacentral:siRNA from 1 species